rnacentral:rRNA from 1 species
CAGCAGCCGCGGUAAUACGUAGGGUGCAAGCGUUGUCCGGAAUUAUUGGGCGUAAAGAGCUCGUAGGCGGCUCAGUAAGUCGAUCGUGAAAUCUUGGGGCUCAACCCCAAGCCGUCGGUCGAUACUGCUGUGGCUAGAGUCCGGUAGAGGAAGGUGGAAUUCCCGGUGUAGCGGUGGAAUGCGCAGAUAUCGGGAGGAACACCAGUAGCGAAGGCGGCCUUCUGGGCCGGAACUGACGCUGAGGAGCGAAAGCGUGGGUAGCAAACAGGAUUAGAUACCCUGGUAGUCCACGCCGUAAACGAUGGAUACUAGACGUGGCGACUUAUCAACGGUUGCCGUGUCGUAGCUAACGCAUUAAGUAUCCCGCCUGGGGAGUACGGUCGCAAGACUAAAACUCAAAGGAAUCGACGGGUCCCCGCACAAGCGGCGGAGCAUGCGGCUUAAUUCGAUGCAACCCGAAGAACCUUACCUGGCCUAGACAUUAUGGGUCUAUCCCCCGAAACGGGGAGUGAUUCGUCCGCCCAUAACAGGUGGUGCAUGGCUGUCGUCAGCUCGUGUCGUGAGAUGUUGGGUUAAGUCCCGCAACGAGCGCAACCCCUAUCCUAUGUUGCCAGCGGAUUACGCCGGGGACUCAUGGGAAACUGCCGGGGAUAACUCGGAGGAAGGUGGGGACGACGUCAAGUCAUCAUGCCCUUUAUGGCCAGGGCUGCACGCAUGCUACAAUGGGCAAUACAAUGGGCUGCCACUCAGCGAUGAGGAGCGAAUCCCCAAAGUUGUCCUUAGUUCGGAUUGAAGUCUGCAACUCGACUUCAUGAAGCCGGAGUCGCUAGUAAUCGUGGAUCAGCAAAGCCACGGUGAAUGCGUUCUCGGGGAUUGUACACACCGCCCGUCACGUCACGGAAGUCGGCAACACCCGAAGUUAGUGGUCCAACCCCUUCGUGGGAGGAAGCUACCUAAGGUGGGGUCGGUAACUGGGACGAAGUCGUAACAAGGUAACCGUA